UUGUCGUGGUGGGAGGGCUCAGUACCCGAAUCGUUUAUCUUAAAGGGGAAGCUAACGUACCCAGACACAGCAUUGCCACGAGUCGAUCAAUGGCUCUUAUGUGGCAAACGCAUGUAAUGCGUUAAAGAAACGUUAAAGGAUUCCAUUGCCAUUGAACACCAGCGGAGCAAUUUUAAAAUUAAUGUACUUUCGAAAACGAUUGUUAUCAACAAGAAGAAGAGGUAAAGGAGACUCAGGAGCAACGUUUAGCAUUGAUUUAACAUAAGAAUCUUGUUUUAAUGUAAAUGUAUUUUAUAAACUAUUGUGUCGCGCUUCAUGAAUCGUUAUAUUCGUUCCGCCGUAAUUCCGUAAUAUAAUAAAACGCGUGUCGGGAGUGCCGUUUAAAAUGCCGUGCGAUUUUCGUAUUCGCGUCGCGAACGUGUGUGAAUACUUUGAAGAUUACUAAGAGGAGAAAAGGAGGCUCAGGAGGAGCAUCAGGCGCUGGCGGAGCAACUUUACGAUUAACUGUGCAGAUCAACAGAACAGACAACUCCGCUGCUGCGCAUCAAUCGUUAUCCGCUUAAUAUCAGCGCAGACAUAAAAUGUAUCAUCACCGCUCGAAACGGAAGGAACGCUACCACCAUCACGCAUCCGAAAAUUAAUCGGCGUGGGCGCAGCCGAUAACAAAUGGUGUUCCCGCCAAACGGCCAGUAUAUUUUACUUUGCUCUCCAGUGUCUGUUAUUUUGUGCGCAUUCUGGCUGUCCGCCCGGUACGAUUUACUCGCCGGGCUCGAUCAGGAAUUUUCGAGUCGCGCGGCCGGACAAAUACCCGCGAAUCCAUUAAAAAAUUGCUGUCUCUUGCGCGCGCGAUCAUCGUUCCUCGGUCAAAAACUUCGCGAGCGCCUUGUCUGUCUUGCACGUGAACCGAGACGUUGCAUCGUCCUAUGAUUGAACGAUUUCUUGCAUCUUACAUUUUAUUCUUGCACCUAAGAUCUCUGUCCCGACAUGCUGUUCUGUUCAUUGAGUUGCAGACUGCAGGCGCAUCGCUGUGUGGAAAGAUAUGUAAUAAUACAUAAAAUAAUUUAUAUCUUAACA